CCGGCCCAGGGGAGCACCCGCUGCUUUCCCGGCGCCCAGGGGUGUGCAGCCCCCUACCUGUAGAAGCGGUCAUCCCUGAAGGGCGUGAGAUCCUCCCUGAGCUCGCGUCCUGCUAGGCUUGGUCUGAUGGUGGUGCUGCAGACUGAACUUGGGACUCUGGAGCCUAAGAAGCUGCCCCCUUCGGGCGGUAACGCAGUGGGUUAAGCGCAGGUGGUGCAAAGCACAAGGACCGGCGUAAGGAUCCCGGUUCACAGGUGGUGAAGCAGGUCUGCAGGUGUCUAUCUUUCUCUCCCCCUCUCUGCCUUCCCCUCCUCUCUCCAAGUCUCUCUGUCGUAGGCAACAAAAACAAUGUCAAUAACCACAACAAUGUUAAACAACAAGGGCAACAAAAAAAGGAAAAUAAAUAAAUAAAUAUUAAAAAAAAAAAAGAAGCUGCCCCUUAAUUCAGUUUUGUUUUGCCACUGGGCCCACUACUGGGCUUGGUGUCUGCAUAAGGGAUCUGCCGCUCCUGGCGGCCACCUCCCCACCCCCACCCCCACCCCCUUUA